UACUAUCCCCAUGCUACCUUGAACACACCCAAUCUCAGCAGGGUCAGGCCUGGUUAGUACUUGGAUGGGAGACCUCCUGGGAAUACUGGGUGCUGUAGCGU